UAGGGAAUCUUCCACAAUGGACGCAAGUCUGAUGGAGCAACGCCGCGUGAGUGAAGAAGGCUUUCGGGUCGUAAAACUCUGUUAUUGAAGAAGAACGUGUGUGACAGUAACUGGUCAUGCAGUGACGGUAUUCAAUCAGAAAGUCACGGCUAACUACGUGCCAGCAGCCGCGGUAAUACGUAGGUGGCAAGCGUUGUCCGGAUUUAUUGGGCGUAAAGCGAGUGCAGGCGGUCUUUUAAGUCUGAUGUGAAAGCCUUCGGCUUAACCGAAGAAGGGCAUCGGAAACUGGGAGACUUGAGUGCAGAAGAGGAGAGUGGAACUCCAUGUGUAGCGGUGAAAUGCGUAGAUAUAUGGAAGAACACCAGUGGCGAAGGCGGCUCUCUGGUCUGUAACUGACGCUGAGGCUCGAAAGCNGUGGUAGCAAACAGGAUUAGAUAC
rnacentral:rRNA from 1 species